GUCCCCGUAGCUCAGCAGGAUAGAGCGACUCCCUCCUAAGGAGUAGGCCGGACGUUCGAAUCGUCUCGGGGACG
rnacentral:tRNA from 1 species